UACGGAGGUUGCAAGCGUUGUUCGGAAUUACUGGGCGUAAAGGGAGCGCAGGCGGUUAGGUCAGUCUGAAGUGAAAGCCCGGGGCUCAACCCCGGAAGUGCUUUGGAUACUGCCUAACUUGAGUACGUGAUAGGAGAGCGGAAUUCCAGGUGUAGCGGUGAAAUGCGUAGAUAUCUGGAGGAACACCGGUGGCGAAAGCGGCUCUCUGGCACGCUACUGACGCUGAGGCUCGAAAGCGUGGGGAGCAAACGGG
rnacentral:rRNA from 1 species